rnacentral:rRNA from 1 species
GAUGAACGCUGGCGGCGUGCCUAAUACAUGCAAGUCGAGCGAACAGAUGAGGAGCUUGCUCCUCUGACGUUAGCGGCGGACGGGUGAGUAACACGUGGAUAACCUACCUAUAAGACUGGGAUAACUUCGGGAAACCGGAGCUAAUACCGGAUAAUAUAUUGAACCGCAUGGUUCAAUAGUGAAAGACGGUUUUGCUGUCACUUAUAGAUGGAUCCGCGCCGCAUUAGCUAGUUGGUAAGGUAACGGCUUACCAAGGCAACGAUGCGUAGCCGACCUGAGAGGGUGAUCGGCCACACUGGAACUGAGACACGGUCCAGACUCCUACGGGAGGCAGCAGUAGGGAAUCUUCCGCGAUGGGCGAAAGCCUGACGGAGCAACGCCGCGUGAGUGAUGAAGGUCUUCGGAUCGGAAAACUCUGUUAUUAGGGAAGAACAAAUGUGUAAGUAACUAUGCACGUCUUGACGGUACCUAAUCAGAAAGCCACGGCUAACUACGUG